rnacentral:rRNA from 1 species
CGGGGUGAGUAACGCGUGGGUAACCUGCCUCAUACAGGGGGAUAACAGUUGGAAACGGCUGCUAAUACCGCAUAAGCGCACAGUGCUGCAUGGCACAGUGUGAAAAACUCCGGUGGUAUGAGAUGGACCCGCGUCUGAUUAGCUAGUUGGUGGGGUAACGGCCUACCAAGGCGACGAUCAGUAGCCGGCCUGAGAGGGUGAACGGCCACAUUGGGACUGAGACACGGCCCAA